AGAGUUUGAUCAUGGCUCAGAGUGAACGCUGGCGGCGUGCUUAACACAUGCAAGUCGAGCGAAUUCUGGCAGCGUAUCGCCAGAGUUAGCGGCAGACGGGUGAGUAAUACUUGGGUAAUCUACCCUUGAGUGGGAAACAACCUGCCGAAAGGCGGGCUAAUGUCCCAUAAGACCACAGGAUGGCAUCAUCCAGGGGUCAAAGCUCCGCAAGGGGCGCUUUUGGAGGAACCCGAGUCCUAUCAUGGUAGUUGGUGAGGUAAUGGCUCACCAAGCCUUUGACGGGUAGCCGGCCUGAAAGGGUGAUCGGCCACACUGGCACUGAGACACGGGCCAGACUCCUACGGGAGGCAGCAGUGGGGAAUUUUGGACAAUGGGGGCAACCCUGAUCCAGCGACGCCGCGUGAAGGACGAAGGUCUUCGGAUUGUAAACUUCUUUUGAAGGGGAUGAAUGUUCUGGUGAAUAGCCAGACGUGACAGUACUCUUCGAAUAAGCCACGGCUAACUACGUGCCAGCAGCCGCGGUAAUACGUAGGUGGCAAGCGUUACUCGGAAUCACUAGGCGUAAAGCGCAGGUAGGCGGUUCGGUAAGUCUUUUGUGAAAGCUCCUGGCUCAACUGGGAGAGGUCAAAGGAAACUACCGGGCUAGAGUGUGGUAGGGGAUACUGGAAUUCCUGGUGUAGCGGUGAAAUGCGUAGAUAUCAGGAGGAAUACCUAUGGCGAAAGCAGGUAUCUGGGCCAUCACUGACGCUGAGCUGCGAAAGCUAGGGGAGCAAACAGGAUUAGAUACCCUAGUAGUCC
rnacentral:rRNA from 1 species